ACUCCUGCGGGAGGCAGCAGUGGGGAAUAUUGGACAAUGGGCGCAAGCCUGAUCCAGCCAUGCCGCGUGAGUGAUGAAGGCCCUAGGGUUGUAAAGCUCUUUCACCGGUGAAGAUAAUGACGGUAACCGGAGAAGAAGCCCCGGCUAACUUCGUGCCAGCAGCCGCGGUAAUACGAAGGGGGCUAGCGUUGUUCGGAUUUACUGGGCGUAAAGCGCACGUAGGCGGACUAUUAAGUCAGGGGUGAAAUCCCGGGGCUCAACCCCGGAACUGCCUUUGAUACUGGUAGUCUUGAGUUCGGGAGAGGUGAGUGGAAUUCCGAGUGUAGAGGUGAAAUUCGUAGAUAUUCGGAGGAACACCAGUGGCGAAGGCGGCUCACUGGCUCGAUACUGACGCUGAGGUGCGAAAGCGUGGGGAGCAAACAGGAUUAGAAACCCUUGUAGUCCCAUGA
rnacentral:rRNA from 1 species